UUUUUUUUGUUUUUCUAGGGCAAUCGUUUUAUACCCGAAGUCUCAACGUUUGGCGCACCACGCCAUAGCCAUCUACCACAUGGCCCCCUCAGACGGCCCCAACCUACACCUUCGGACCACCUCUUCUUACUACUCCCGCGUACAUUAGCAAAUAACCGUUGAACUGAAACACCAGACCCGAGUUGGCCACCGCCAAUACCCGGUCAUUUAUAGUCCAAGAUGACUGCUGACCUACAAAUGUUCAGCCCCAAAUUAACUUUUACAACUGGCGGUAGCCGGUAUUGCCAGUUUCUUAUCCUGCGCUCUCCAUUCCUUGUCCAUAUAAACACCCCUUCGCUGGCUCAGCUGCGUUCAUAACUUCCGUUUCCGCCUCUGCUUCUUUUUUACUUGCUUUGCUUUGGGUUUUCCUUUUGUUUACACUCGUACCAUUCAGGUUAUGGUCCUUGCUGCUCACCGGAAACCUGAGAGCCGCCGCUCCUUCACAGCUCUCGGUUUCCCUCGCCUCCGAUUCUUCCGUUACCGCCGUUUGAGGUAAUCGGUGAUCGCUCAAACGCCACACGAAGAAGCACAGGGGAAUUUUAUUUUUCAGAAAUAUUUUUGCGAUAUACUUUAUUGAUGUACUAUGCCGACGACAACAAAGACUAACCGGAAAGGACAGGACUCGGAGAAGAACCGGAGGAACAGGCUAACAGGGAAGGCGUCAUCUUUCCACGGGAGGGUACCGUUGGAUGUGCCGGAGCCGAGGAUUCGGCGUCCAAAUACGCUACCUGACUUGCUCGGAGGCAGGAGGAUGGCUGAAGUGAGCAUGGAGGCGAAGACGAAGUUGACGAAGCUGCUAUUAAACGUGACGAUUCAAGGAAGUGUUGGUGCCGUACAAGUUCUGAUGUCGCCGGAAUCCACCGUCGGCGAUCUGGUUGCUGCUGCUAUCCGGCAAUACUCGAAGGAAGGCCGCCGCCCAAUUUUUUCAUCCGAUCCUUCCAAAUUCGACCUCCAUUACUCGCAAUUCAGCUUAGAAAGUAAGAUCAUGCAUCAUCUUCUCUCCGCAUGAUAUUUUUCUGAUCAUCAAUAUUUUUCCUCAAUGAGAAAAUGACACGUGAACUGUGGAGAUUCAUGGAGAUUGAGAUUUUUUUUUUUACUCCUUCAGGUUUGGACAGGGAAGAGAAGCUAAUGGAGUCGGGAUCGAGGAACUUCUUCCUCUGCUCAAAAAAGUCGGUGGUAGAGAGUGGAAAUGAAAGCGGAAGUUCUUCCAGCGGCGGCGGUGUAACGAAAACGGCGUCGUCGUCGUCAUCUUGCUCAAAAGAAGCAGAAGAAGCUGCUAGAAGUGGUUUUCCUUGGUUGAAAUUCAAGGAUUUUUCGCUGUAAUAGCAGCAAGGUGGUUAUUAUUAUUAUUAUUUACUUUCAUUUUUCCCACUUUAUUUUUUGCAAAUUACCGAUGUAAAAAGUAGUUUUGGAUUAGGUAAAUCCCGCAUAAGAAUUAGAAUGCAAUUAAACCUAUAUUGCAUUUUAGGUCAUUUAAAUUCAGUGGAGCAGACUGCUUGCUUGUUUGUGUCUGUCCUCGUUUUUUAUUUUUGUUAAUUUCUUGAAUUAAAAUAUAAGUUGCCGGAAUUUGUACAGCUUACAAAUUGUUUUUGUUUCUGUUUUUAAGGUCGCUAACCCACAUGAU
rnacentral:misc_RNA from 1 species